AAAAGUGUUUUGUUAGUGGAAAAAGGACUUGUUAAAUAAAGAAGAAAUUGUAGAUCGUUGUUGAUACGGUCUGUGCUGUUCUGGGUCUGCUGGUGAAUGCUUGUUGAAUUCUUGUUCAUCCUGGUGGUUGGUGCUGCUGCUGUUGGGUAGAGGAGAGGAAGGCUUGGUGUUGUCCUGUGGCUGUGGACGCUGGAUUAUUCAACAAAAAUUGAGGGAGCUACAGUAUUACGCCGCCUUCGAACGGCUAAUGGAUUUUAUGAGAAGCUGUUUCAUGGCAGAAUUACACUCGGUGAUUUGCCAUUGCCUGCCGAGAAGCGACCGGGGUUAAGAAAAAAAGCAUAUGAUAUUGCGAAUUUUCUCCAAAUAAAGACAUCUAACCAGCGUUAAUCAAAAUUAUCAAGGCCCAUGGAGGAAAAGUCAAAAUAUGUACAUAUCUUUCAGUUAUUGUCUGCUUGUGUACAUAUAUCAAUAAAUGUAUGACAAUGUAUAGAUUUAAAUAUCAAA